GACGAACGCUGGCGGCGUGCUUAACACAUGCAAGUCGAACGGUAAGGCCCUUCGGGGUACACGAGUGGCGAACGGGUGAGUAACACGUGGGUGAUCUGCCCUGCACUUCGGGAUAAGGCUGGGAAACUGGGUCUAAUACCGGAUAGGAGCCUGGGAUGCAUGUCCUGGGGUGGAAAGCUUUUGCGGUGUGGGAUGGGCCCGCGGCCUAUCAGCUUGUUGGUGGGGUGAUGGCCUACCAAGGCGACGACGGGUAGCCGGCCUGAGAGGGUGACCGGCCACACUGGGACUGAGAUACGGCCCAGACUCCUACGGGAGGCAGCAGUGGGGAAUAUUGCACAAUGGGCGCAAGCCUGAUGCAGCGACGCCGCGUGAGGGAUGACGGCCUUCGGGUUGUAAACCUCUUUCAGCACCGACGAAGCGCAAGUGACGGUAGGUGCAGAAGAAGGACCGGCCAACUACGUGCCAGCCGCCGCGGUAA
rnacentral:rRNA from 1 species